rnacentral:lncRNA from 1 species
CUCCCGCUUCCCUCUUUUCUCAAUCUGUACCUAUUAUCUUUGAUAACUACUUAUGUUAUCCCUAUUUUUGCUCUUUAUUAUUUUAUUAAAUAAUUAAAUAAUUUUAUAUUCAAUUUAUUAUUAUAUUUUUAGUUAAAAGUUGUUUGAUUUAAAUUGUAGACUCAACUAGACCUAUUCCAGACCCAAACCUGAACAUUUUGUGUUGGGUCUUAGGGAUAUUUAAUCCGAACCCAAUCGAGCUAACAUGUUAGGCUUAAAAUCUUUCUAUAAGCCCAACCUGACUCAACCCACCAACUAAUUUGUUAGAUCAGAUCUUUUGUUCACAGGAGUAAUUCUUUGUCCACCACCUCUAGGUGGAUAAAAAGCGCACUUCCCAAUCAAUUUGAGCCACAUAAUGCAAUUAAUAAUAGGAUAGAUAUUUAAUACUACUCAACUUUUUUUUAAAUUUUUCUUGAUGAAAGUGUUCUUUCCAUCUAUAGAAUAAAAAAAUAAUAUUAUUACUUUCUGAUAUCUUAUAUAACUUUUUGUGAAUAUAUAUGACAUUCUGAACAAUAUAUAUGAUUUUUUAUAAAUAUAUAUGAUAUUCUGAAUAAUAUAUAUGGCUUCUUGAUGCGUUAUAUGA